GUGCCAGCCGCCGCGGUAAGACGUAGGGUGCGAGCGUUAAUCGGAAUUACUGGGCGUAAAGCGUGCGCAGGCGGCUUUGUAAGACAGGUGUGAAAUCCCCGGGCUUAACCUGGGAACUGCACUUGUGACUGCAAGGCUAGAGUGUGUCAGAGGGAGGUGGAAUUCCGCGUGUAGCAGUGAAAUGCGUAGAUAUGCGGAGGAACACCGAUGGCGAAGGCAGCCUCCUGGGAUAACACUGACGCUCAUGCACGAAAGCGUGGGGAGCAAACAGGAUUAGAUACCCUGGUAGUCCACGCCCUAAACGAUGUCAACUAGUUGUCGGGGAUUCGUUUCCUUGGUAACGCAGCUAACGCGUGAAGUUGACCGCCUGGGGAGUACGGCCGCAAGGUUAAAACUCAAAUAAAUUGACGG
rnacentral:rRNA from 1 species